UACGUAGGGUCCGAGCGUUGUCCGGAAUUAUUGGGCGUAAAGAGCUCGUAGGCGGUUUGUCGCGUCUGCUGUGAAAUCCCGAGGCUCAACCUCGGGUCUGCAGUGGGUACGGGCAGACUGGAGUGCGGUAGGGGAGAAUGGAAUUCCUGGUGUAGCGGUGAAAUGCGCAGAUAUCAGGAGGAACACCGAUGGCGAAGUCAGGUCUCUGGGCAUUAACUGACGCUGAGGAGCGAAAGCAUGGGGAGCGAACAGG
rnacentral:rRNA from 1 species